rnacentral:rRNA from 1 species
ACAUCACCAUACCACCCUGAACAAAAUUGAUUUCAUCUGAUUUGGAAGCUAAGCAGGGUUAGGCCUGGUGAAAACCUACAUGGGAGACCACCAGGGAAUACUGAGGUCAGAUUUC